UUACGGCCAUAUCACAUUGAAACACCGGGUCCCGUACGACCACAGAAGUUAAACAACGUCGAACCUGGUCAGUAUAUAGAUGGGUAACCGCUUGGGAAUAUUAGGUGCU